rnacentral:piRNA from 1 species
UGACAGAGGGAGAUAUCACUGCCUCGAA